UACGUAGGGUGCAAGCGUUAAUCGGAAUUCCUGGGCGUAAAGCGUGCGCAGGCGGUUUCGUAAGUCUGUCGUGAAAUCCCCGGGCUUAACCUGGGAAUGGCGAUGGAGACUGCGAGGCUAGAGUUUGGCAGAGGGGGGUAGAAUUCCACGUGUAGCAGUGAAAUGCGUAGAGAUGUGGAGGAACACCGAUGGCGAAGGCAGCCCCCUGGGUCAAAACUGACGCUCAUGCACGAAAGCGUGGGGAGCAAACAGG
rnacentral:rRNA from 1 species